rnacentral:tRNA from 1 species
UGGCUCAGUUGGUAGAGCAUGGUGUUUGCGAUGGUGUUUGCAACGCCAGGGUUGUGGGUUCGAUUCCCAC